GACGAACGCUGGCGGCGUGGAUUAGGCAUGCAAGUCGAACGGUAGGAUACCUUCGGGUAUCUGAGAGUGGCGAACGGGUGAGUAACACGUAGGUGAUCUACCCUCAAGAUUGGGACAACCCAGGGAAACUUGGGCUAAUACCGGAUGAAAGCAGCAGUGAUGUUGUUUGAAAGGUGGCGUAAGCUGCCGUUUGGGGAUGAGCCUGCGCUCUAUUAGUUAGUUGGCGGGGUAAAGGCCCACCAAGGCGAUGAUAGAUAGGCGGCCUUAACGGGUGGUCGCCCACACUGGGAUUGAGAUACGGCCCAGACUCCUACGGGAGGCAGCAGUCGAGAAUAGUCUACAAUGGCCGAAAGGCUGAUAGUGCGACGCCGCGUGAACGAAGAAGCCUUCGGGUGUAAGUUCUUUUAUUAUGUGGCAGUGCUUUCUAUGUGAACAGCAUGGGAGAGAGAUAUAGCAUAUGAAUAAGCAACGGCUAACUCCGUGCCAGCACG
rnacentral:rRNA from 1 species